UGGGGAAUAUUGGACAAUGGGGGCAACCCUGAUCCAGCAAUGCCGCGUGUGUGAAGAAGGCCUUCGGGUUGUAAAGCACUUUAGGUUGGGAGGAAGGUAACGAGUUUAAGAGACAGGUUAUUUGACAGUACCGACAGAAUAAGCACCGGCAAACUCUGUGCCAGCAGCCGCGGUAAUACAGAGGGUGCGAGCGUUAAUCGGAGUUACUGGGCGUAAAGGGCGCGUAGGCGGUUGUAUAAGAUUGAUGUGAAAUCCCUGGGCUUAACCUAGGAACUGCAUCGAUGACUGUAUGACUGGAGUACUGUAGAGGGUAGUGGAAUUUCCGGUGUAGCGGUGAAAUGCGUAGAGAUCGGAAGGAACACCAGUGGCGAAGGCGGCUACCUGGACAGAUACUGACGCUGAGGCGCGAGAGCGUGGGGAGCAAACAGGAUUAGAUACCCCUGUAGUCC
rnacentral:rRNA from 1 species